CAGUCGCCGCGGGAAUACAGAGGGUGCAAGCGUUAAUCGGAAUUACUGGGCGUAAAGCGCGCGUAGGUGGUUUGUUAAGUCGAAUGUGAAAUCCCCGGGCUUAACCUGGGAACUGCAUCCGAAACUGGCAAGCUAGAGUAUGGUAGAGGGUAGUGGAAUUUCCUGUGUAGCGGUGAAAUGCGUAGAUAUAGGAAGGAACACCAGUGGCGAAGGCGACUACCUGGACUGAUACUGACACUGAGGUGCGAAAGCGUGGGGAGCAAACAGGAUUAGAUACCCGAGUAGUCCUUGUCUCUUAUAC
rnacentral:rRNA from 1 species